rnacentral:rRNA from 1 species
CAGCGCCACAAGUGGGGAUCCUGUUUAUUUGGCCUAAAGCGUCCGUAGCUGGUUUAGUAAAUCUUUUGUGAAAUCGUUAAGCUUAACUUAACGGCGUGCAGGAGAGACUGCUAAGCUAGGGACCGGGAGGAGUCAGAGGUAUGCCGGGGGGAGCGGUAAAAUGCUAUAAUCCCUAGUGGACCACCUAUGGCGAAGGCAUCUGACUAGAACGGGUCCGACAGUGAGGGACGAAAGCCAGGGGAGCAAACCGGAUUAGAGACCCGAGUAGUCC